GUCUAACUCUCCGUAUUCACUGUAUGCCUUGAUGUGGUUUUUUCCGAUCAUAAGGCACGCGGUGAAUGCCAAGAGGAAGAUU
rnacentral:pre_miRNA from 1 species